rnacentral:rRNA from 1 species
GGCUUAACACAUGCAAGUCGAGCGGUAGCACAGGCGAGCUUGCUCCCCGGGUGACGAGCGGCGGACGGGUGAGUAAUGUCUGGGAAACUGCCUGAUGGAGGGGGAUAACUACUGGAAACGGUAGCUAAUACCGCAUAACGUCGCAAGACCAAAGAGGGGGACCUUCGGGCCUCUUGCCAUCAGAUGUGCCCAGAUGGGAUUAGCUAGUAGGUGGGGUAAUGGCUCACCUAGGCGACGAUCCCUAGCUGGUCUGAGAGGAUGACCAGCCACACUGGAACUGAGACACGGUCCAGACUCCUACGGGAGGCAGCAGUGGGGAAUAUUGCACAAUGGGCGCAAGCCUGAUGCAGCCAUGCCGCGUGUGUGAAGAAGGCCUUCGGGUUGUAAAGUACUUUCAGCGGGGAGGAAGGUGUUGUGGUUAAUAACCGCAGCAAUUGACGUUACCCGCAGAAGAAGCACCGGCUAACUCCGUGCCAGCAGCCGCGGUAAUACGGAGGGUGCAAGCGUUAAUCGGAAUUACUGGGCGUAAAGCGCACGCAGGCGGUUUGUUAAGUCAGAUGUGAAAUCCCCGGGCUCAACCUGGGGACUGCAUUUGAAACUGGCAAGCUAGAGUCUCGUAGAGGGGGGUAGAAUUCCAGGUGUAGCGGUGAAAUGCGUAGAGAUCUGGAGGAAUACCGGUGGCGAAGGCGGCCCCCUGGACGAAGACUGACGCUCAGGUGCGAAA